rnacentral:rRNA from 1 species
UACAGAGGCCCCGAGCAUUAUCCGGAAUCACUGGGCGUAAAGGGUGUGUAGGCGGUCGUAUUAGUCCUUCGUGAAAGCUUUUUGGCUUAACCAAGAAAACGCGGGGGAAACGGUACGACUUAGAGGUUGCGAGAGGUAUAUGGAACUCAUGGUGUAGGGGUGAAAUCCGUUGAUAUCAUGGGGAACACCAAAAGCGAAGGCAAUAUACUGGCGCAUACCUGACGCUGAGACACGAAAGCGUGGGAAUCGAACGGG